rnacentral:rRNA from 1 species
AUUGAACGCUGGCGGCAGGCCUAACACAUGCAAGUCGCGCGGAGAGUUGGACGGGUGAGGACUGCCGCGGCAUCUGCCAGGUAGUGGGGGAUAAAGUCCAGAAACGGGCGCUAAUUCCGUAUUCUAUAAGAUGAGCUUCGGUCGGAUUAGCUAGUUGGUGUGGUAAUGGCCUACCAAGGUGACGAUCCGUAACUGGUCUAAGAGGAUGAUCAGGCACACUGGAACUGAGACACGGUCCAGACUCCGACGGGAGGCAGCAGUGGGGAAGCUUGGACAAUGGGCGAAAGCCUGAUCCAGCCAUGCCGCGUGUGUGAAGAAGGUCUUCGGAUUGUAAAGCACUUUAAGUUGGGAGGCGUUACCAACAGAAUAAGCACCGGCUAACUCCGUGCCAGCAGCCGCGGUAAUAC